rnacentral:rRNA from 1 species
GACGAACGCUGGCGGCGUGCUUAACACAUGCAAGUCGAACGGAAAGGCCCUGCUUUUGUGGGGUGCUCGAGUGGCGAACGGGUGAGUAACACGUGAGUAACCUGCCCUUGACUUUGGGAUAACUUCAGGAAACUGGGGCUAAUACCGGAUAGGAGCUCCUGCUGCAUGGUGGGGUUUGGAAAGUUUCGGCGGUUGGGGAUGGACUCGCGGCUUAUCAGCUUGUUGGUGGGGUAGUGGCUUACCAAGGCUUUGACGGGUAGCCGGCCCGAGAGGGUGACCGGCCACAUUGGGACUGAGAUACGGGCCAGACUCCUACGGGAGGCAGCAGUGGGGAAUAUUGCACAAUGGGCGGAAGCCUGAUGCAGCAACGCCGCGUGCGGGAUGACGGCCUUCGGGUUGUAAACCGCUUUCGCCUGUGACGAAGCGUGAGUGACGGUAAUGGGUAAAGAAGCACCGGCUAACUACGUG